GCUCCGUGAAGACAGCCCUGUGUAGACCAGCUUUCAUUUUCAGUGCUCCCUUGUAUUUUCACUGCUUGAAUUCGAGUGAAGAUUUUCCCUCCUGACCUGGUGCCAUGCAGCUGCUCCAAUGCUGGGACAUCACUGGGCAAGGCCGAGACUCCUUCAGGCAUGUAGAAGCUUUAGAAGUGAAGACCAAACAGCGGCUGCAAAUCGAUCAAGGGAGCCUGAGAAGCCUGAGGAGCCUCCAGAGAGCUGAUGGUGGAUGGCAUGGGCUGCAGGAAGGCGCUGCUCCGCGGCACUCAGCCAUGUCCCCUGGCUGCUGUGGGAGCUGCCUCCCUGCAACCCAGCUGUGCUGCACGGCGGCUCAGCAUCCCCAGGCAGUGCCUCCGGCCCUCUUCUGGGAAGCAAUUAUAACCCCAGGAUCCUACUAAUUUCCCAAGGGGAUUCGUAUCAAUACUGCUCAUAUUUGUAUAAAUCUCCAUUCCCAUAAAGGUUAGAAGCUCCGAAAGAAGAGAAUGAAACUUCGAAAAUGAGUGAGAUAAGUAACUGAGACAAAGAAAUUUGAUUUUACCCUACUUGGAUUCAUCAAGAUAGUUCGAAGGAUUCAAACAAACAUGCUGUGUAAACAUUUAUUUCUAUUCUAUUAUUUCUAUUAAUUUCUAUUUUUUUUUUAACAGAAAGUAUUCUAAAACCUGCUUACUUCCCCCCUUUACUAUCUUAUUUCUCUCAGCUUGAAUAGCUAAAAUUUAUUCACCAGUUUUGCUCUUGUAGUGAUUUCAAAGCUUUCAGGACAAAUGGUGUGAGGGAAGCCGGCUAUUAUUUUUUAUUCGAUUAAAAACUAAAAUGCUGAAACUUUUCUUUUGCUUCUGGGCAUCAUAAAUGGUUAAAGAG
rnacentral:lncRNA from 7 species